rnacentral:SRP_RNA from 1 species
CAUGCUAGGUGGGGAGUUAGCGGUGUCUUGAACUCGCAAUCCGCUUUAGCGAGGCCGAAAAUCUACUGAGGGUUCAUAUUAUGUAGGACGCUGUAUUGGUCCGCGUUGAAGAUUUGGUCUAGCGCAGCACAGACCUCCGAACCUCGCCAGAUCCGGAAGGAAGCAACGAUAAGGUGAUAUCUGUGGGUGCCGCUGGGUAGCCUGAUCCGAGUUGGCGAAUAC